rnacentral:rRNA from 1 species
UACGGAGGGUGCAAGCGUUAAUCGGAAUUACUGGGCGUAAAGCGCACGCAGGCGGUUUGUUAAGUCAGGUGUGAAAUCCUCGCGCUUAACCUGGGAACUGCAUCUGAUACUGGCGAGCUUGAGUCUGGUAGAGGGGGGUAGAAUUCCAGGUGUAGCGGUGGAAUGCGUAGAGAUCUGGAGGAAUACCGGUGGCGAAGGCGGCCCCCUGGACGGAGACUGACGCUCAGGUGCGAAAGCGUGGGGAGCAAACAGG